rnacentral:rRNA from 1 species
GUGAGAAUCUGCCCUUUGGAGUGGGACAACGACUGGAAACGGUCGCUAACACCGCAUGAGCCGAGAGGUAAAAGUAUUUAUAGCCAAAGGAUGAGCUCGCGUCGGAUUAGCUAGUUGGAAGUGUAAUGGACUCCCAAGGCGACGAUCCGUAGCUGGUCUGAGAGGAUGACCAGCCACACUGGGACUGAGACACGGCCCAGACUCCUACGGGAGGCAGCAGUGGGGAAUUUUCCGCAAUGGGCGCAAGCCUGACGGAGCAAGACCGCGUGGGGGAGGAAGGUCUGUGGAUUGUAAACCCCUUUUGACUGGGAAGAACACAAUGACGGUACCAGUCGAAUCAGCCUCGGCUAACUCCGUGCCAGCAGCCGCGGUAAUACGGAGGAGGCAAGCGUUAUCCGGAUUUAUUGGGCGUAAAGCGUCCGCAGGUGGUUGGUCAAGUCUGCUGUUAAAGCGCAAAGCUUAACUUUGUAAAGGCAGUGGAAACUGAUGAACUAGAGUGUGAUAGGGGCAGAGGGAAUUCCCAGUGUAGCGGUGAAAUGCGUAGAGAUUGGGAAGAACACCGGUGGCGAAAGCGCUCUGCUGGGUCAUUACUGACACUGAGGGACGAAAGCUAGGGGAGCGA